rnacentral:rRNA from 1 species
UACAGAGGGUGCAAGCGUUAUUCGGAAUUAUUGGGCGUAAAGCGCACGUAGGCGGUCUUUCAAGUCUGGUGUGAAAUCCCUGAACUCAAUUCAGGAAGUGCAUUGGAUACUGUUAGACUGGAGAAUGGGAGAGGUGAGCGGAAUUCCUGGUGUAGAGGUGAAAUUCGUAGAUAUCAGGAGGAACAACAGAGGCGAAGGCGGCUCACUGGACCAUUUCUGACGCUGAGGUGCGAAAGCGUGGGGAGCAAACAGG